rnacentral:lncRNA from 1 species
UCAAGGUGUGAUCCCAAAGCUAAUGCACAUGAUGAGAUAACAUGAGGGUCUUAGGGUCAAAAUUAGGGUCUUACACACGCGGUUUUGGUCAUCAGAUCUUCCACCUCAAUUAAUGAGGGAGAUCUAAUGACACUCAUUUUUUCUUUUUCUUUUAUUUUUCUAAAAUGAUUUUUAAAUAGCCUUUUCUUGUAAAAUUCACCAUAAAUCCAUUUUUGAUCCAAAAAUUAUGCGACCAACACCAAAAAUUCACAAAUAUUUUCCUCUUCCCAUUUUUGCUUUAAAUUAAGUUUUAUAUUUUGGUGAAUUUUAUGAUUUUUAACUUGUUUUAAUUAGUUUUUAAUUACUUCUGACUUUUAAAAAAUGCCCAAAAAAUUAGUCAAUGGUUAUUUGAGUUUGCAUGACCUAUGACAAAUCCCUU